rnacentral:rRNA from 1 species
AUGCAAGUCGAACGAAGUAGCAAUACUUAGUGGCAGACGGGUGAGUAACAUGUGGGUAUCUUCCCUAUGGCCUGGAAUAACACGAGGAAACUUGUGCUAAUACCGGAUAAGUCUUUACGGAGAAAGCUUUAUGCACCAUUGGAUGAGCCCGCACUUGAUUAGUUUGUUGGUAGGGUAAUGGCCUACCAAGACUUUGAUCAAUAGCUGAUUUGAGAGGAUGAUCAGCCACAUUGGGACUGAGACACGGCCCAAACUCCUACGGGAGGCAGCAGUGGGGAAUCUUGCACAAUGGAGGAAACUCUGAUGCAGCGAUGCCGCGUGAGUGAAGAAGGCCUUUGGGUUGUAAAGCUCUUUCGUCGGGGAAGAAAAUGACUGUACCCGAAUAAGAAGGUCCGGCUAACUUCGUGCCAGCAGCCGCGGUAAUACGAAGGGACCUAGCGUAGUUCGGAAUUACUGGGCUUAAAGAGCUCGUAGGUGGUUGAAAAAGUUGGUGGUGAAAUCCCAGAGCUUAACUCUGGAACUGCCAUCAAAACUUUUCAGCUAGAGUAUGAUAGAGGAAAGCAGAAUUUCUAGUGUAGAGGUGAAAUUCGUAGAUAUUAGAAAGAAUACCAAUUGCGAAGGCAGCUUUCUGGAUCAUUACUGACACUGAGGAACGAAAGCAUGGGUAGCGAAGAGGAUUAGAUACCCUCGUAGUCCAUGCCGUAAACGAUGUGUGUUAGACGUUGGAAAUUUAUUUUCAGUGUCGCAGCGAAAGCAAUAAACACACCGCCUGGGGAGUACGACCGCAAGGUUAAAACUCAAAUGAAUUGACGGGGACCCGCACAAGUAGUGGAGCAUGUGGUUUAAUUCGAAGAUACGCGCAGAACCCUUACCAACACUUGACAUGUUCGUCGCGACUUUAAGAGAUUAAAGUUUUCG